rnacentral:lncRNA from 1 species
GGAAAUUUUGGAGAUACAAUUUUGGACAUUAGGGAAGACAUCAAUUUAUUCAAGACUCUCCACAAAGACACUUUAGAAUUAGUCAAAUUUUAAUUUAGUAGAUUAGGCUUUCUAAACCAAGUUUUGUAAUAUUGGGCCAAAUUUUGGCAAAAACAUGAUAGGCCCAAUUGUAGGGUAGGACACAUGGCACUAGGGUUUCUUUAGAGUGGACCUCACCCUCUCAUUAAGUGACUCAUGGCCUAGGGAUUGGGAGUCCAGCCGUCACUCUCUCAAUUUUUUCUGAAUUGGCUGGACGUUUUUCUUACAUUGCAAUUUUUCCUUGAAUGAUGAUGGAUUAUAGAUGAAUGUUACACA